GUCUUUAUCGUUAAUCAAUUUCGUCAAUAAUCAGCGCCCAAUCAGCUCCAAUUAGAAGCCUAUAGUCAGUCCACACUUCCAUUCUCAUCACUGUUAAUGAUAUUAACCCGCGUGACUAUCAGUCUAUCAAUUAUCCCUGACAGAGCUAGGGUAGAAAGUUCGGGUGCGCGGCGAUAUUGACCGGCGUUACUAUUACUCAGCCGUCUCCUCCGACUCCCCACCCCUCCGCUCCCUCGCAGACGCCCUCAGUACAUUCCAGCAGGUAUGCAUCUUAUUUUUUUAAUAAUCGUAUUUUUUUUAUCUACUUAAUCGAUCUGUUUUAUCAAUUUAGAAUAAUUAAUUUACGCACCAACAGUUGUUUACUAUGAAUAAAAUUAAGAAUUAUGUUUAUUAUAGUUGCAAAUGCAAAUAAGUUAAAGAAUAUAAUUUUUUUUACAGCAAUUGCGUUGAAUUGAUGGUGAGUUGUGUCUAUAUGUUGCCCUCCAUGUGUUGGACGAAUUGUCUUAGAGACAAUUUUAUCAUCCUCAAGCUAUUUCUUUGAGCUUCUCUUUUGUUCUUGCUCAAGCUUUAUUUCUUGCAGAGAAUAAAUGCAGAUUAUGUGGAGGAAACCACUUUAUAAAUUGUAAGUAUCUUUUAGGAAUAUCGAAGCUGUGAAGUUUCUAUUAUCUCAUGGUGCAAAUCAAGACUAUCUUAAAUCAUUAAAAAUUUUGGAUGUGGAAAAGAGUUUGAUUAGUUUUGCAUGUCAAUUUUGCUACUGUAUCCAAUCAUAUUGAUAUAAUCUUGUGAGACUAAUGUACUGUUGAAUGCUCAUAUUUUUUUUUGAUUUAUUUUUUUGCUGCUCUCUACUUUGCAGCUAAAUGUAAGUUUUUUAGUUAUGGAGUCCCCUCUUUUACGUGCAAUCAAGGCUCGCUAAUUUGUAUGCAUGGAUGUGCUACUUAAGGUAUGUUUUGUGAAAUGGAGAUACCUAUAUCGUGUGAUGUAUUAUUUGAAUUUGUAUGUCUAUUUUUUAGAUUGGGGGUUAUUAUGGACACCUUGAAUGGACAUCUUCUUUAUAAUAGGAAUACCAACUUAGCCUACGUAGCAGCCCUCAAAUCCCAGCGUUCUCAAAAUCCUCGAUUCUCCUUCAUCCUCAAAAUUCCUUAAUAUCUUCUUCAACAUUUCCAUUCUAAUCCCCUCACUCAAAUCUCAGUUGUGUUUCACCACAAUCAAUGGAAAGCGUUUCACCAUAAUCAAUGGAAUUCAAUAAUCAGGUCCUUACCAUCUCCAAAAUCAAUGUUUCUAUUAUGAUGGUGGCUGGCUUCUCACAAGAUCUCUGUCAUUUGCCUCUCGAUUCUCCAUUCUCCUUAAUCGUUUCCAUGAACUCUACCUCAAUCACCUCUUGAUUUUCAUUGAUUAAUGCCCCCAAUGAAGGUAAAAAGUCUAACAUAAGCUUCUCAAUCGUUAAUUAUACCCUGUCUUUUCAACUAUAAAUUUUUGGGAAAUGGUUUCCACGCAUACCAUCUGAAAUUCUUUUUUUGUUUUCCAGGUCAUCUUUGGUUAAUUGGCUCUCAAUUUUUGAGGUUUGUUCUUUCAGAUUUUGUUGAUUAAUAUGAUAUUUUCAUCAUUAUUCGUGUAAGUUGUUUCGUGUUUUUGAUUUUGUAUUAGCGCUGAGAAAUAUAUAUUGUUGGAGGUGAGUGACAAACACUGGCUGAUAUAUAUUGGGGAAAAAACUCCAAAAUUCGAGGUGAUAGUUGAGUGGAAUCGCAUAAAAAGAACUAAAAUUUAAAGAGAAAAGGAGAUUGCUGUUGCAGCCUCGAUUAAUUAUGUUAAUGAUUUAUUUUUUCCAUUAUGUGAGUACGCAUAUAGUACAUAUACUUCCAUCUAAGGAUUACCCUGCUUAUAGUAUAAUAUAAUGGAUGCUUAUAGUAUAAUAUAAUGGAAUAGGAUGAAUUGAAAUUCACAAACAUGGUACUCUGUUAUUUUUGCAUUUUGUAAUUGGAUUUGAUCUGUGCUUUUCUGAUAUUAAAAGUUUUGGUUUUCCGCGGUUUCGUAUAAAUAUUAUUUUCUUUCAUUUCGUAAUUGAAUUAGAUCUGUGCUUUUUCUUGAUAUUAUUGCACCGUUUAGAUGAUCUGUGCUUUAUUUUUUAUGUAACAAAUAUAAUCCCAAAUAUAUUCGGUUGCGUAUCGUUUGGAAUGAAAAAGUAUUGGCCUUGCUUGAGGUAAGGCAGUGGAGUUGAUGUGUUGCACUCAUUUCUUCAUGAGUUGAUGUUUAACAAUCUGUAAUGUCAAGAAGACAUAGUGGUGCUCGGUUAGUUGUUUUUUACAGUAUUUAAAUGGUGUCUCUGAUUUAUAGGAGUAACAUAGAUGAGUGGUGGAGAUCUGGGAGCAUCUGCCUUCCCUGACAGGGGGAGCAUAUUUACGUGGACUUGCAGAAUUUAAGGCGGCAAAGGAACCAUGACGGUCCGUCUUACAAACUUUGGUUUCUCUUUCCACUAUAAUCUAGAUUAUCAUUUCUCAAGUCACGUUUGAGACUACAUGCUUGAUGCUUCCAUCCAAAUGUCGACCAAUUUGAGCAUAUUUGUUUGGGCAUUCUUCAAGUAAUUAGCCUUGUAUUGUCAUUCUCACCUUCUCAUUUGCUUUUCUGCAUCCAUGUCAAAAUAUUUCAGAUUCUUUUGCUUCAUCCCAACUUUUAUGACUUUAAUUUUGUUGUUGCAGGAUAAGUGGUGUUCAGCAUAUGAUUGCAGAACGAUUCUCUUGUCCAUCCAGAGCCUAUUAGGAGGUCAGAUGGCGUUGUCUCACUCUUUCUGCUAGCUCUUUUGUAUGUAUUUAUGAGCUAUUAGGAGCUCUUUUUUCUCACUAUUAGGAGCUCUUUUGUAUGUAUUUAUGUAAUAGUUUUUCUUAUGCUCGCGUUGUAAUGAGCAGAACCCAAUACUCAGAGCCCUCUCAAUGUGUCUGCUGCUUUGCUCUGGAAGAACCAGGAAGGUUCGUAGAAUUUGCAUUUUGUUCUUGAACUCGAUCCAAUGGUGCGUAGUAUUGGAAAACGUGGUUUUUACAAAUUCUGAUUGCGGAGUACAGAAAAGCAGUGCGCAAAUAUUACAUGGAUACUGGAUAUUCAUUAGAUAACUGAUCAAAACAGCAGUAAUAAACUUCAAGAAGGAAGACCAUCUGAUCUAUCUAUGGAAAUAUUAGGCUUGGACAGUUAUUUCUUUCACUGAAAAAAUUAAGCUGUGUUAUGUUCAUCAAAAUGUAAUCAAACCAUGAUUAUGUUUGUGGUAUCUGGUCAUGUUUGGAUUUGUUUAAAAAGCUUCUAGCUUUAUAACUUCAUCUAAAAUUUCUUGUAGCACUUUUAUUAUAUACC
rnacentral:lncRNA from 1 species